CCUGCAAGCAAAGGUUUGGUAUUUGGUUAUUUUAAUCACAUAUAACACAAAACUGUGUUUAAUGCUUCCCUCAAAACUUUGUAUUUAUUUAUAGCAUCCUUUCUCUGUCUAAACAGAGAAACUCCUUCACUUGAGAGUUUGGCUUCCUGAUUUAAUCAGUCCUUAGCUUUGUUGUACCAUUUUACUUGAGUUGAAUGUUAAUGGAUGAAGUUUUUUUAACUCUUCUACAUUUUCCAGUUUGAAGAGGAGGAAUAAAGCCCAAAUUCACAAGCAAUAGGUAAUUAGCAUCAGUGAAUAUAAGGGGGAAUGUUAAGAAAGUAGAUACCCAGAUGAGGAUCACAAAAAAGCCAUGCAAACUUUGUUGAAAAAACAUUAAAGAUGGUCAAAUUCAAAGUGGGAAGUUAAAAAAAAAAAAAAAGGAAAAAAAGAGAGCAUGACAAGAAGUUGGGCCUCCACAUUGGGCUACAUCAUACUGUUUUAUAAUGCUGAAGAGACACUGAAGAGAACAGGUCUAGGACAGCAAGUGAAAGAUGAUGAGGUCAUCAUUUUUCAGCUUUGGUGAUUAAGUAGUCAUGGUAUGCAAUUAUAAAAAUCCUUCGGUUGGUAAUAUCUACUAAUUUUAGGAGUUCUUUAACUCCAAUUUCUCUUCUUCCUCUCCCAGCUCUGAAAAUGGCUACAGCCAACACAGCUGUGAAGUGGGAAGAAGGCUGCUCUUACACUUCUCAGUUACUAUUUAUAUUCUAGUUACAACAUGUGGAUUUAUUUUUAAAGGCUAACACACCCAUAGCUAUAUUUAAUUACAUUGGGAUUAAAUAAGCACAUAAUGUAACAGUAUUUGUUACUCUGAGGCAAUGACCUGAAACUUUUCUGUAGUCAUGAAUUCAGAAGAGGGAUAAAUGAAUUGGAGACCACUAGGCAAAAAUAACUCAGGUCUCAGAAAUGAAGCUGUAUCUGCAAAACCCAUCACCAUACCACAAGCUGAGCACACUAUUGAUAAUAUUGUCAGAUACUCUCUAGUAUCCAUGAUUUAGCAGACUUAAUACUCCCAUUUUUAAUUAUACCUCUUCUUUAAAUAAAGAAAAUGGAAUGCCUUAA